AAGUCGUAACAAGGUUUCCGUAGGUGAACCUGCGGAAGGAUCAUUAUCGAGUUUGAAGUGGGUCUUUGAGCUGGCUGUUCUUCAGUACUGUGCUCGGGCCCCGCUCCAAUCCACUCAACCCCUGUGCACUUUCGGAGUGACGGGCUUUAACCAGCUCGUGGCUUCGUCUCUUUUUAUCACAAACCCAAGUUUAUUAUUGUCAUGUAGAACGUGGAUGCCUGCAAAGGCGGAAACUCAAUACAACUUUCAACAACGGAUCUCUUGGCUCUC
rnacentral:misc_RNA from 1 species